rnacentral:lncRNA from 1 species
GAACGACCUCUGGAGCAUCAGACAGUCAAGUCACUGGAAGUAGAACAGGUACCACAGGUGUGGUCUUAGGUACCACAGUUGCACCUGGAAGUUCUAGUACAGGUAGGUUCUCAAACUGGAAAGAAAUCACCCUUUCUGGAAAUAAGAUGACAGAAUUGUCUUUUGCAUUGAUCUUCUCAUAUAGGAGCAUCCCAGUCUAAUUUCCCUUCUUCCUAAGUCCCCAUCUUUACCUGUUUCUUCUUCUUUUUUUUUAUUUCCAGAAGCCACCACACUUCCCCUGGAGUCAUUAGAACUACUGCAAUGGGAUUGAAAAUAGAUGAGAAUUAUUGUGUGUGUGUGUGUGUGUGUGUGUGUGUGUGUGUGAGAGAGAGAGAGAGAGAGAGAGAGAGAGAGAGAGAGAGAGAGAGAAUUUGAUUGAUAAAUCAAAGUUGGCCCUUGAACAACAUGGGAUUGAACCUCACAGGUCCACUUACAUGGGGAUUUUUUCUGACAAUAAAUAUUACUCUUACCACACAAUCUGUGGUUGCUUGAAACCAUGGAUGUGGAACAAUGGAUAGGGAGGAGCUGUGGAUACAGAGGGCCCACUGUAAAUUAUGCAUGGAUUUUUGACUACGAAGAGAGUUGGCACCCCCAACCCCUGUAUUGUUCAAGGGUCGACUGUGGUUUUUUGUUUCUUAGAAAGGAAUUUUUUAGAAACUCUCAUCUCAGAUCAAUGUUUUUUUUUGUUACUUGACUUUGAAUUAAAUGGGGCAUAUUUUUGAAGUCCCUCUGUUUCCACGGUCUAGUGUCAUAUGUGUAGAUCAAAAUGUCUAGAAAGUUUUCUUUUUCCUCACCACAAAAUUAAAUGAUGGAAAGACAGUCCCAGAGGGUGCUACUUCAGGUAAGCAGAAGGCUACAAUGAGAACACACAAAAAAAUCAAUCUCUAUUCAUUGGAUCCCUAAGUACAAAAGUGACUGAAAAUGUGCAGUCGUUAUCCCAAUGUGUGUAUCUUUACACUCAGAAGUUUUCCUGUUUUCAUCCUCUUAGGAGCUACCACUGGAGUACUGAUAAAUGAAGGAACUAGAAGCACAUCAUUAGGUACCACGAGGGUAGCUUCUGGCACUACAUAUGAAUCUGGGACUUCUAACUCAGAAAGUAUAGUGCCCUCUGGAGGCAGUGGGACACCAGGAAGUGGAAUAAAUACAGGUGAGCACUCAAGCUUCAUAACCUCUCCAUUUUUCACUUACAGUAGCAAUACUAGCUAA